AGGAAUUUCACUAAGUUAAACUAGAGCUUUGUGAGAGUAAAUCUCAACUCUAAAUCUUCUCAUAUUUCUCAUAUUGAAAACCCAAACCAAUUCAAAUUUACAUCUUCUUGUGAAGAGUGCGAUUGUGAAAUACAAUAACUCUUCACAAGACAGGCUACAACGCAGUAUACAUAUUGGCUCAUGUGUAUAAUCAUGUCUGGGCAAAAGAAUAGUUUAACAAAGUCCCAAAGGAAUGUAUCAUGGUGUGAUCUGACAGGUUCUUAUAGGAAAUACUAACGAAAGGACCAAAAAUUGCAUUCAAAUUAUAAAUACCAAGAAACAAUCAGAGCCAAUUGAAACAGAAACAAAAAGAAUUUAGUAGAAGGGGUUUGGGUUUGAAUUGUUACAACCCUCGAAACAAACAGAAAAUUUGCUUGAUAAUGGUGGAUUAACAUGCAUAUUCUGACGAAAGAUAAAAAUUAAAAUAAAGGUAUAAAGCAGUGCUAACUGCUAAAAAUAGUUGAAAGCACUAAAUGAUGAGCAAGGGUAAAAGAACACCUAUGACGAUCAUAAUCCCUAGAAAAUCAGUGCGACCUGUGGUGACUUAUUGAAUCAUAAAUAUGGGAGCAAUCUAAAUCUCUGCCAUGCUCCCAAUCAUAUCCACGAUCUCAAUAAUAAUGCAUGUAACGAUCUCUGCUCCAACUACCAUAAUCCCUCUCCCAGUUAUGGCUUGCUUGAUUCUCUGUCACCAUCUCUACUUUGCUCUUCUGAUCUGUAAUAUUGAGAACAGGUUUCACAAGCCAUGGGCCGAUAAUAAUAAAUGAACAAAUAACCCAUGAACAAAUAACCCAAUUCAUCUACUACUUUCAACUAAGUAGAGAAUCUACAUGGCUCACAGGUUGUUCAUUCUGCCAUGAGAAAUUGCGUUAAGAAUCUCCAUGGGCACAAGGGAUGAGUUUGAGAUAUGAAAGAGAGAGAAGAUAAU
rnacentral:misc_RNA from 1 species